UUUGGCAGCGCUGCCAAAGUUUCCUGACUACAGAAAGCGGAAAUACUGUCGGAGUCGGACAUUGAAGAGAGCUUAGAUCAGGCCUGCAUCUUACUAAAAUUUCUCUUUUUCAGCAGAAUGUCGUCGUUGGUGGGUUGGCAACUAGACCACAGACUAAGAGUAGGCUGUCGGAGUAGACAUCAGUACUACACUUCCACUCGUAGUCUAUCCCUAGACGGAAGAAAAAAAUGUUUCACAAGCUAAGCAACUGGCAAGAACCAUCAGAUUCCUUCAUUGAGACUAGAGCAAGAUGAGGUAAAAUUUGUAAAAUCUGUAAAGGUAAGAGCAAUAAUACUGAAAAAAUUAAGAUUCUUCUUGAAGAUGAGGAAUUAUGGUAUAAAACAACUUAUGAUGUGGAUUAAUUACUACAGAGCAAUCACAUUUAUUCCUUUUCUUUUAGAGUUGUUCUGCCUAAAUGGAUGAAUCGGGUCGUCGUAAUUUUCUUUAAGAGAUUAUGCAGCCUGUAAAGAAAUGUACAGAGUUGCACUAUGCAAAAUGGAAGUUGAACUCAAGUUGGCCUUUGUGAAUUGUUCUUCAGCAAUAUUUCAAUUGGAUCUAUUGGAAGAGUACUAGAAGCUGCCUUUGUGCAUUUUCAAGUUCAAGAAAAAAUAAUGUAGAUGGACGAUGUAGAAAAUGGAAAUAAUCAAGAUGGAGACUUCGGUUUAGAUGGUAGAAUCAUAUUGCUCGGUGGAGAGAAUCUGACUUUAAAAGAGCUGGCGCCGCCGUAGACAUCAGUAAACAGAUCUUGUGGCAGGAGAAACUCUUUGUGGAACAAUCUAAUGCCCUUGUGGUACUACCCGACUUCCAGACCACGCAUUGUCACCAUUCUACUCGCGAGCUGCCACGAAAACGAUAUCUUUUGUGUUGGGGCAAUAUGGUUUUGUAGUGAUGCCUGCUGAUAAGAAUCGUCCCGCUACCAUACUUUUGAAUGCAAACUGAAAUCUGUAUUAAAUUCCGUCGGUAUUGCACACCUGGGAGCGAUGAUAGUUGUUUCGUAUGGGCUGGAGCAAUUAGUUCUUGAUGGUACGGAAAGUGAAGAAAGUUCCCGGUAUGGAUAGCUUAUGACACAACGUUAUCAGGCUAUGUUCCAUCUGAUCUCGCAUACUGAACGAGUGAUGAGCUUUAUCAACACGUCUCGACUGCCGCUCUUUUAGCGUUGCGACUGACAACGCACACGCAAUUACCGAAAUCUGCGGUCUAGAUAAGAACAGUGAAAGACAAGAGAAUUGCAUUUGCCAUUUACCCAUCCGCCUAUUUAAUAAACUGCAGUUGCGAUUAAACAGUGGACAAAAGUUUCCAAGGCAAUAAACUAAUCGUCCUUGCCAUCUGCGAUAUUCUGCAAGGUGAUCAAGUGUGCAACUGUUAUGUGCCGCAUUGGUGAGGCAUUUGGAAGGUGCCAAGUGAAUUUACCGGAUCCAUUUCGUCAAAUGUCAAAAUUGACAAAAUAUUUUAUUAUUUUAAAUAAUCAUAUUAAUUAGAAACUUGCAUUGAUUAAUGUUAACUUCUAUAUGGAUAAAAUACGUAGAAUGUCAGGAAAUCAUUUUGAUCGUCCAAAGAUUUCCCUACUUUCUAAAAUGUUUUUUAUUUAUUCCUUUUGAAGUGCAUAUCUGUGCUCUUAUUUUCUGUGGCCCUGUUUCACUUUGCCUUGUGAUAAGUAUGUCGUGUCAAGCCGUUACUUUCCUUAGCAGACAAAAUUGGAAGUGAUCUCGGCAAAAGGGAAAUGGAGAUAUU